GACGAACGCUGGCGGCGUGCCUAAUACAUGCAAGUAGAACGCACAGUUUAUACCGUAGCUUGCUACACCAUAGACUGUGAGUUGCGAACGGGUGAGUAACGCGUAGGUAACCUGCCUGGUAGCGGGGGAUAACUAUUGGAAACGAUAGCUAAUACCGCAUAAUAUUGAUUAUUGCAUGAUAAUUAAUUGAAAGGUGCAAUUGCACCACUACCAGAUGGACCUGCGUUGUAUUAGCUAGUAGGUGAGGUAACGGCUCACCUAGGCGACGAUACAUAGCCGACCUGAGAGGGUGAUCGGCCACACUGGGACUGAGACACGGCUCAGACUCCUACGGGAGGCAGCAGUAGGGAAUCUUCGGCAAUGGACGAAAGUCUGACCGAGCAACGCCGCGUGAGUGAAGAAGGUUUUCGGAUCGUAAAGCUCUGUUGUAAGAGAAGAACGGGUGUGAGAGUGGAAAGUUCACACUGUGACGGUAUCUUACCAGAAAGGGACGGCUAACUACGUG
rnacentral:rRNA from 1 species